rnacentral:rRNA from 1 species
UACGGGGGGGGCAAGGCGUUGUUCGGCAAUUUACUGGGCGUAAAGGGCUCGUAGGCGGCCAACUAAGUCAGACGUGAAAUCCCUCGGCUUAACCGGGGAACUGCGUCUGAUACUGGAUGGCUUGAGUUUGGGAGAGGGAGUGCCGGAAUUCCAGGUGUAGCGGUAGAAAUGCGUAGAUAUCUGGAGGAACACCGGUGGCCGAAGGCGGCAGUCCUGGACCAACACUGACGCUGAGUGAGCGAAAGCCAGGGGAGACAAGCGGG